rnacentral:lncRNA from 1 species
CCUGCCUCAGCCUCCCAAGUAGCUGGGACUGCAGGCACAGGUCACCAUACUUGGCUAGUUUUUGUAUUUUUAGUAGAGAUGAGGCUUCACCAUGUUGCCCAGGGUCGUCUUGAACUACUGGACUCAAGUGAUCCAACUGCCUUGGCCUCCUAAAUUGCUGGGAUUACAGGCAUGAGCCACUGUGCCCGGCCAUUUUUUUUUUUAAUUAAAAAAUUUUUAUUUCUUUUUUGAGGCAAGGUCUCACUCCAUCUCUCAGGCUGGAGUGCAGUGACAUGAUCACAGCUCACUGCACCCUCAACUUUCAGGGCUCAGGUGAUCGUCCCACUUCAGCCUCCCAGGUAGCUGGGACCACAGGCAUGCACCACCAUCCCCAGCUAAUUUUUGGUAUUUUUUAAGAGACAAGACCUUGCCAUGUUGCCCAGGAUGGUCUCAAACUCCUGGGCUCAAGCCAUCCACCCACUUCGGCCUCCCAAAGUGUGGGGAUUACAGACAUGAGUCACCAUGCCUGGCAGUUUCUAUUUUUCAUAGUGAUGAGGUAUGGCUUUGUUGCCCAGACUCUUCUUAAGCUCCUGGGUUCAAGCCAUCCUCCUAACUUGGCCUGCCAGAGUGUUGGUGAGGCCAGAGAAUAGAGUCUGGAGGCAGGGAACUUGAGAACAAUUUGUGCUGACUUCCUAAAGCUGAAUCAAGGGAAAACAUCAAGUUCUGGGGGCCAGGAAUCUAAGCCCAAUUCAUGAAAAUUUCCUAAGGUGAAAUCAGAGGGGAAAUACUUGGGUCUGGGAGCAGGAACCCUAAGGCCAAUUGGCAGGAACUUCCUAAAGCUACACCAAAAGGAAAAACUCAAUCUCCCCAGGCCCAAGUAACAAAGGAUCAAAGGCUACUUACUCUCCUACAACUUCCCUCCUUCCCCCAGGAUAGAGAGGGAGAGUGCCCUGGAGCGGAAGGGGACUGAGGAAGCACUACCCCUUCAUCUGCAUAGGGCAUCAAUCUGCUCCAGCCUUGGGUUAGCCACCGGCCAAUUCACCUCAGCCUUUAAUUAGCCACAGGCCAAAUCUUUCAUCCAGAUAAGAGGUAGCUGAUAGGAACCUCAAACGGACUACUUAAACCCCCACAAACUUUGUAGGUGGGGUCCUUGAGCUGCUUGCUUCAUUCUACUCCUACCCUAUGGAGUGCUUUCUUUUCUUUUUUCUUUCUUUUCUUUGAGAUGGAAUCUCGCCCUGUCGCCCAGGUUGGAGUGCAAUGGUGCAAUCUUGGCUUACUGCAACUUCUGCCUCCCGG